AAAAGUCAAGUGAAGACAAGGGCGUAAGUCCAAAGAAGCACCAAGAGGAAAAGCCUCGCCACUCAUAGAAAGCCGAUUCUCACCGCUCCCUUUCGCCAAUCACAGCGGUCCAGCGAGCUCUGGGUCAAAUCAAGUUAAUAUGCGCACUGGUGAAGCUACGAAGCACCUUGAUACUUGUCCCGACGCCUCUUGCUUCUGAGGUGACGCUAGCCCGAGUUAUUCCAUAUCCAGAAACCAAGCCGUGACCAGCGUCUAGCCGAGACCUCAAAUAGCCAUAAAGGAGCCCUCCUGUCGAGCUAGCCAUCAUCGAGAAUCUCUUACCAUAAGACUAUUGAUCCCGACAUCGCCUGCUUGAAGUUGCUGCCAUUGCUGCUUACGUCCGCACCUGCCUCGCUUUAAAUCGCGGAAUUCCAACCUGGUCGAAUAUGUGUUGCGGCACUUCCCUUCUAUUUCGCAGAUUUCUGAAGCGGACCCAAAGCUUCCUUGUUGAUCAUGCUUGCGGAGCAACGUCGUGAACAGCCACCAUGAGCCAUCGUCGGUCAUUCCUCAUUGUGAUUCUCGUGAUCUACUGUCCGUCCAAAUUCAGAAAAAAUAUCCGAGCGAUAUCGCAAAUUAGGCUUGGGCUGUUGAAUUGGGCUUGGCUUCACUGAUCUCUUGGGCUUCAAAUUGCUGGGCUUGAAGACUUCAACUGGGCCGAGAACAGGCUGGCUUCAUGGAUGUUGAAGACGCUCGGCUUAUGGACGCUGAAGACGGGCUGCUGAACGAAACGAGCGGGCUGAAGAAAAGACCGCAUGGGCUACUGCGUGGAUGGAGUCGCGCACGAAGGAGACGCGGCCACGAAUCUGCUUCGGUGGAGCAAAACCGAAGGUGGUGGUCUUCGGUCAAUCCUCGGUGCUGGUUUGUUGACCAGCAGGGGACAGCAAGUAGUGGAGAGAUGGGGCGGAUGAUAGAUGAUGAAGAUGAGGGAUGAUGAUGAUGAUGUGGGCGCGGCGAGAAAAAGAACAUGAAAGGGUGAAGCUGCAGAAUUCGAGUGGGACAGCGUGAUCUUCUAUGGGGGCUUCACGGCGUUGGGUUGACCGAGCUUGGAGGAGACUCAGACGCGUGGGGGCUUGGACGGCAGCUUCGCAGGGGAAAACAGAAAGAAAGAAAAAGCAAAGCAGAAAAUGGAGACAGAAGGGUUAGAGAGAAAGACGGUGGUGUGCGAAAAUGGAGAGUAGAUGAGGGAGAGACGUGUGAGAUUGGAAAGAAGAGGAACAAAAGUCAAUAAACCUUAAGUCCUUCCAUU